rnacentral:rRNA from 1 species
AUUGAACGCUGGCGGCAGGCCUAACACAUGCAAGUCGAGCGGAUGACGGGAGCUUGCUCCUUGAUUCAGCGGCGGACGGGUGAGUAAUGCCUAGGAAUCUGCCUGGUAGUGGGGGACAACGUUUCGAAAGGAACGCUAAUACCGCAUACGUCCUAAGGGAGAAAGCAGGGGACCUUCGGGCCUUGCGCUAUCAGAUGAGCCUAGGUCGGAUUAGCUAGUUGGUGGGGUAAUGGCUCACCAAGGCGACGAUCCGUAACUGGUCUGAGAGGAUGAUCAGUCAAGAUGGAACUGAGACACGGUCCAGACUCCUACGGGAGGCAGCAGUGGGGAAUAUUGGACAAUGGGCGAAAGUCUGAUCCAGCCAUGCCGCGUGUGUGAAGAAGGUCUUCGGAUUGUAAAGCACUUUAAGUUGGGAGGAAGGGCAGUAAGUUAAUACCUUGCUGUUUUGACGUUACCGACAGAAUAAGCACCGGCUAACUCUGUGCCAGCCGCCGCGGUAAAAC